UACAGAGGGGGCAAGCGUUAUUCGGAAUUAUUGGGCGUAAAGGGCGCGUAGGCGGCCUGGCAAGUGGAAGGUGAAAUCCCUCGGCUUAACCGAGGAACUGCCCUCCAAACUGCUUGGCUUGAGUCCGGGAGAGGUGAGUGGAAUUCCCAGUGUAGCGGUGAAAUGCGUAGAUAUCGUAAGGAAGACCAGUGGCGAAGGCGGGUCUCUGGACAGUUCCUGACGCUGAGGCACGAAGGUCAGGGGAGCAAACGGG
rnacentral:rRNA from 1 species